GACGAACGCUGGCGGCGUGCUUAACACAUGCAAGUCGAACGAAGUGGCGAACGGGUGAGUAACGCGUAAUCAACCUGCCCUUCAGAGGGGGACAAACGUUGGAAACGACUGCUAAUACCGCAUACUGAAGGCGGGGAUUGCUGCUGAUUAGUUAGUGGGAGGGGUAACGGCCAACCAAGGCGAUGAUCCGGAGCCGGUCUGAGAGGGUGAACGGCCACAUUGGGACUGAGGCACGGCCCAGUAUCCUACGGGAGGCAGCAGUGGGGAUUCUUCCGAAAUGGACGAAAGUCUGACGGAGCAACGCCGCGGUAGUGAUGACGGCCUUCGGGUUGUAAAGCUCUGUUAAUCGUGACGCGUUACCGGCAUAGAAAGCCACGGCUAACUACGUGCCAGCAGCCGCGGUAAUUC
rnacentral:rRNA from 1 species